AUGGUCAGGGGUGUGAGGCCAUGAGAACAAAGCCGAUGCCAGUCAUGCUAGGGCAGACAGAGCUCUUUGAAAGUUCUGACACCUGUCCUUGCCUUCAGUUAGGCCUGAAGUCUAGCUCCAUGGUUUCGGGAAUUCAGAGGUCACCCUUUGCCAGUUUCAGUCUCCCUGAACUUGUGGGCUUCUCUGAGCAACAGAAUUGGCCAACCUAAGUCUCAGUGUUCUCAAGAUGGCUAAAGCUACACUCCAGCUGUACUCACAGCAGGACAGAUACAGUUAAAAUGGAGUGAAUGGUAUAGGAAACACGUAGGAGGGACCUGCUGAUGGUAGCCAAGAAUAUAUUCUGACUUCUGUUUGUUACUUUCUUCUGCAGGGGAGUCCCAUCUAAGGAUUUUGCAAGAGCUAAAAACACAGGAGUUUCAAAAUGUUUCCUGUAGAAAAUCAAAAAGUCCUUUAAGUCAGUCUAAUGAUGCUUUUAAUUGCCACUAUACUAAUGCUGUAAUGAAUUCUUGGAGGUUUCCCUUUUGUGUAUAAUUGGCAGAGCGGGGGUCACACUCCAUUGGGCACAUGACACUAUAUGUGAACCUGAAACUAUAUAUGAGUAGGAACCUGGAAGAGUGGACCAAGAGCCUCAGCAAGCCUUGGCUCCCCAGUGCAGUCUUGGCUGGGCAUCGAUAUACACUGAGAUGAAUGUUAGUAAACCAAGUUUAAAGCUAUCUCAUGGAGAAGACAGAACGAUUACAUAAGAGAGAAGAGAUGCAAAUGCUGACACCAUAAUUUUAUGAAAGAGAAGAGAGAAACUUCUGCUCUACCUACUGAAAAUACUGCAAAUACAUUUGAGUGAAGCCACAAUUGUUAUUUGGAAGCUAUGGGAUCCAGUAACAAAUUUACAUGGAGAUGUAAAUGUGGACCAGAUUUCUACUUCACUUUGGUAUCCUGCUGAGUUGCACAGACUGAGGAUUCGGCCGAGAAACUAAAAAAAAAAUCCUUGCCAAAUGUUUGCAUUGAGGACUGAAAGCAGAAACAGCAAAUAAAAUAAAUUAUAACAUCGAAAA